GAUGAACGCUGGCGGCGUGCUUAACACAUGCAAGUCGAACGAAGCACUUUAUUUGAUUUCCUUCGGGACUGAUUAUUUUGUGACUGAGUGGCGGACGGGUGAGUAACGCGUGGGUAACCUGCCUUGUACAGGGGGAUAACAGUUGGAAACGGCUGCUAAUACCGCAUAAGCGCACGGCAUCGCAUGAUGCAGUGUGAAAAACUCCGGUGGUAUAAGAUGGACCCGCGUUGGAUUAGCUAGUUGGUGAGGUAACGGCCCACCAAGGCGACGAUCCAUAGCCGACCUGAGAGGGUGACCGGCCACAUUGGGACUGAGACACGGCCCAAACUCCUACGGGAGGCAGCAGUGGGGAAUAUUGCACAAUGGGCGAAAGCCUGAUGCAGCGACGCCGCGUGAGCGAAGAAGUAUUUCGGUAUGUAAAGCCCUAUCAGCAGGGAAGAUAAUGACGGUACCUGACUAAGAAGCACCGGCUAAAUACGUG
rnacentral:rRNA from 1 species